rnacentral:lncRNA from 1 species
UUAUAUUGAUAAAUUUUAAUUGUUUUAAUUCUGUAGCUAACGUCAUACCGGAAUUAAAGUUUAUUGAAUUGGAAAUUGGUUGUAGUUGGAAAGCGAAUUAGAACCCUAUUAACUGUAUCGGGCUGAGUCGGAUAUAAAUGGCAUGCCGUAGGAUUGGAAGAGUUUAGAUAUUUCUUUGACUUCGAGUCGAUGAGGCACCGGG